UACGUAGGGGGCAAGCGUUGUCCGGAUUUACUGGGCGUAAAGAGCGCGUAGGCGGAAGCUUAAGUGUGGCCUGAAAGCCCCCGGCUCAACCGGGGAAGGUGGCUGCAAACUGGGCUUCUUGAGGGGGAUAGGGGAAAGUGGAAUUCCGGGUGUAGCGGUGAAAUGCGUAGAGAUCCGGAGGAACACCAGUGGCGAAGGCGGCUUUCUGGGUCGGCCCUGACGCUGAGGCGCGAAAGCGUGGGGAGCGAACGGG
rnacentral:rRNA from 1 species